rnacentral:rRNA from 1 species
GGCAGCGGCGGACGGGUGAGUAACGCGUGGGAAUAUGCCCUUUGGUACGGAACAACUGAGGGAAACUUCAGCUAAUACCGUAUGUGCCCUUCGGGGGAAAGAUUUAUCGCCAUUGGAGUAGCCCGCGUUGGAUUAGGUAGUUGGUGAGGUAAAGGCUCACCAAGCCGACGAUCCAUAGCUGGUCUGAGAGGAUGAUCAGCCACACUGGGACUGAGACACGGCCCAGACUCCUACGGGAGGCAGCAGUAGGGAAUCUUGCGCAAUGGGCGAAAGCCUGACGCAGCCACGCCGCGUGAAUGAUGAAGGUCUUAGGAUUGUAAAAUUCUUUCACCGGGGAAGAUAAUGACGGUACCCGGAGAAGAAGCCCCGGCUAACUUCGUGCCAGCAGCCGCGGUAAUACGAAGGGGGCUAGCGUUGCUCGGAAUUACUGGGCGUAAAGGGCGCGUAGGCGGAUAGUUUAGUCAGAGGUAAAAGCCCAGGGCUCAACCUUGGAACUGCCUUUGAUACUGGCUAUCUUGAGUUUGGGAGAGGUGAGUGGAAUGCCGAGUGUAGAGGUGAAAUUCGUAGAUAUUCGGCGGAACACCAGUGGCGAAGGCGACUCACUGGCCCGAUACUGACGCUGAGGCGCGAAAGCGUGGGGAGCAAACAG